AAUAUUGCACAAUGGGCGAAAGCCUGAUGCAGCGACGCCGCGUGAGGGGUGACGGCCUUCGGGUUGUAAACCUCUUUCAGUAGGGAAGAAGCGAAAGUGACGGUACCUGCAGAAGAAGCACCGGCUAACUACGUGCCAGCAGCCGCGGUAAUACGUAGGGUGCGAGCGUUAUCCGGAAUUAUUGGGCGUAAGGAGCUCGUAGGCGGUUUGUCGCGUCUGUCGUGAAAGUCCGGGGCUUAACCCCGGAUCUGCGGUGGGUACGGGCAGACUAGAGUGCAGUAGGGGAGACUGGAAUUCCUGGUGUAGCGGUGGAAUGCGCAGAUAUCAGGAGGAACACCGAUGGCGAAGGCAGGUCUCUGGGCUGUAACUGACGCUGAGGAGCGAAAGCAUGGGGAGCGAACAGGAUUAGAUACCCUGGUAGUCCAUGCCGUAAACGUUGGGCACUAGGUGUGGGGACCAUUCCACGGUUUCCGCGCCGCAGCUAACGCAUUAAGCGCCCCGC
rnacentral:rRNA from 1 species